rnacentral:misc_RNA from 1 species
CUUCAAUUUUUCCUGUUCAUCCUGGUUCAUUUGCCCUUGGUAAGCUUGGUCAAAACUAGAAUACUGCAUGUAGGCCUCAUGGUAGUUCCAGCAGUGUCAAGAUCCUGGGAGAAACCAGUAGGAAAAAUCCAAAAUACGUCCCCCACCCAUACAUAGAAUUCUUUAACUUCAAGUACAGAAAAGCAGGUAAUUAAUCAAUGACAAACAAGAAUACAAAUGAGUGCUCGAGGUACUGAUCUUGGAAUAGUUGGAAUCAAGAAACUAGCAAAAGCCCCCAUCAAUUUUUCUGGUAGGCCGAAUACAAACAUGAUAAAUGUGGUAAAUGAUUCCCAUAUUGAUGAGCGUAAUGUGAUUGAGAUUGGCAACUAAGCAUGAUAUACUUGUAUAUACGCCCGAAGCCAUAGACUAACAAAAUAGCAGAAAAAACUUCUCUAUCAAUAGAAUGGAUUGGUUGUUUUCUUUUUCCCUUAACUAGAAAGUUGAACAAGCAUAUUCAUAUUGUUUGAGGCUUAUAACAUUACUGAAAGUGAAAAGGAAUAUAAGAACUUGCUGAAUGGUUGGGUUGCUUAGCAUGACAUUUUGGAUAUGAAAAAACAAUCAAUUGGACAACUUAUAAAAGGCCAUAGCUCAAAUGGUAUGACAAGUUUGUAUCAGUAGGAGGUAACACAAUGCAAUCUCUUGAUAUAGAAGGAACAAAUGAUUCUACAAGUAAGAAUUUGUGUGUCAGUGUACACAGCUAAAUUUAAUCAAACCUGAAUUUACAUAUCUCAAACCAAUAAAUGAAGUAAACUACACACAUGCAUACAAAAAUAUAAACUCAACUCAAUGUCCCAAGAAAUGGAGCCUGCAAAACAGAAAAGUGGGAAGAAAAUCACAUUCAGAGGAUGGAUUAAACAGAGGCAGACAAUUUUACAAGAAGAAAAGCAUAACCAAAACUAAAGUCCAAAUGACCACAAGUCAGGAAAUAUACAGGGUGGUGAAUCCUAAGUUAAACUUUGAACUUACUUCUUUUGAUGGAACAUUCAUAUAUGGAAUGUCAGCCUCUUCACAUAAGAUAGGAACAUGAGUAAUGACAUCUAUUGGCAAAAUAUUUCCUGCUAUUAUGCAUAACCUAUCAAGAAGUCCAAUACUUCAGAGCCUAGCAUCUUUAAAGCUACACUACACAUAUCUCACAUUUCCUAGCCAAAUAAAAGCUAUAAAACUAACAAGACAGGAAAAUUAACAAAGAUUAGCCGCGAUUGCAGGUAAAGCAAAAGGCAGACUUUUUGUUUUACCCUUUAUUCCCAGCAUAAGCUGCUGCUGACCAAUUACCUGAACCAACAAGAUAAUGUAAAAAUCACUUUAAAUCGCACUUUUUACAGCGUAAUGCAUUUUCAAUUUCUUUUUCAAAGAUAUGGAUGCCUGCUAAUGGGAGAUACAUCCUGAUAUUUCAGAUCAAGUAUCUUUCCUGGGUAAUCACAUCAAAAGUCUCAUUAAUCAGAAUUACAUGAGAGUUAGAAAGAAGUGUAGUUCUCGUAAUGAAAAUUAUCUCUUGUUUACAGUACACUGAAAUCUGGAAGUUUUGAGUGACCGGCAAUACUGUUCCAAUCACUGGCCUACGUCUCUCUCCCUUCUCUGCGCCUCCUCCCAAAAUCUGUAGUGGAUAGCUCUAAGACUUCAGACGGC